rnacentral:rRNA from 1 species
UACGGGGGGGGCGAGCGUUGUUCGGAAUUACUGGGCGUAAAGGGCGCGUAGGCGGUUCGCUAAGUUGGAUGUGAAAACUCUGGGCUCAACCCAGAGCCUGCAUCCAAAACUGGCGGGCUAGAGUUCUGGAGGGGGUAGCGGAAUUCCUGGUGUAGCGGUGAAAUGCGUAGAUAUCAGGAGGAACACCGGUGGCGAAGGCGGCUACCUGGACAGAAACUGACGCUGAGGCACGAAGGCCAGGGGAGCAAACGGG